rnacentral:rRNA from 1 species
AUUGAACGCUGGCGGCAUGCCUUACACAUGCAAGUCGAACGGUAACAGGUCUUCGGAUGCUGACGAGUGGCGAACGGGAGCGUAAUACAUCGGAACGUGCCCGAUCGUGGGGGAUAACGAGGCGAAAGCUUUGCUAAUACCGCAUACGAUCUACGGAUGAAAGCGGGGGAUCUUCGGAUCUCGCGCGGUCGGAGGGGCCGAUGUCAGCUUAGGUAGUAUGUGGGAUAAAUGCAUACCAAGCCGACGAUCUGUAGCUGGUCUGAGAGGAUGAUCAGUCACACUGGGACUUAGACACGCCCCAGACUCCUACGUGAAGCAGCAGAGGGCAAUUUUGGACAAUGGGCGAAAGCCUGGUCCAGCGAUGCCGCGUGCAGGAUGAAGGCCUUCGGGUUGUAAUCUGCUUUUUUACGGUACGAAAAGCCUCUUUCAAGUAAAGAGUGUUCGUGACGGUACCGUAAGAAUAAGCACCGGCUAACUACGUG